GACGAACGCUGGCGGCGUGCUUAACACAUGCAAGUCGAACGGCAAGGCCCUGCUUUUGUGGGGUUCUCGAGUGGCGAACGGGUGAGUAACACGUGAGUAACCUGCCCUUGACUUUGGUAUAACUUCAGGAAACUGGGGCUAAUACCGUAUAGGAGCUCCUGCUGCAUGGUGGGGGUUGGAACGUUUCGGCGGUUGGGGAUGGAAUCGCGGCUUAUCAGCUUGUUGGUGGGGUAGUGGCUUACCAAGGCUUUGACGGGUAGCCGGCCUGAGAGGGUGACCGGCCACAUUGGGACUGAGAGACGGCCCAGACUCCUACGGGAGGCAGCAGUGGGGAAUAUUGCACAAUGGGCGGAAGCCUGAUGCAGCAACGCCGCGUGCGGGAUGACGGCCUGCGGGUUGUAAACCGCUUUCGCCUGUGACGAAGCGUGAGUGACGGUAAUGGGUAAAGAAGCACCGGCUAACUACGUG
rnacentral:rRNA from 1 species